GUCCACGCCCUAAACGAUGGCAACUAGUUGUUGGGGAGGCAAUCCCUUACGUAACGAAGCUAACGCGUGAAGUUGCCCGCCUGGGGAGGUACGGUCGCAAGAUUAAAACUACAAAGGAAAUUGACGGGGGCCCGGCACAAGCGGUGGAUGAUGUGGUUUAAUUUCGAUGCAACGCGAAAACCUUAACCUACCCUUGACAUGUCUGGAAUCCCGCUGAGAGGCGGGAGUGCUCGAAAGAAGAGCCAGAACACAGGUGCUGCAUGGCUGUCGU
rnacentral:rRNA from 1 species